rnacentral:rRNA from 1 species
CUGGCGGCGCGCUUAAACAUGCAAGUCGCACGAGAAAGGGAGCAAUCCCAAGUAAAGUGGCGUACGGGUGAGUAACACGUGGAUCAUCUACCUUCUGGUGGGGAAUACCCCCGGGAAACUGGGGACAAUUCCGCAUAAGUCCGUGAGGAGAAAGCAGCAAUGCGCCGGAAGAGGAGUCCGCGGCUGAUUAGCUUGUUGGCGGGGUAAAAGCCCACCAAGGCGAAGAUCGGUAGCCGGCCUGAGAGGGCACACGGCCACACUGGCACUGAAACACGGGCCAGACUCCUACGGGAGGCAGCAGUGGGGAAUCUUGCACAAUGGGGGAAACCCUGAUGCAGCGACGCCGCGUGAGCGAUGAAGCCCUUCGGGGUGUAAAGCUCUUUCGACGGGAACGAUAAUGACGGUACCCGAAGAAGAAGCUGCGGCUAACUACGUGCCAGCAGCCGCGGUAAUACGUAGGCAGCAAGCGUUGUUCGGAAUUACUGGGCGUAAAGAGUGUGUAGGCGGUGCUCUAAGUUCGGUGUGAAAUCUCCCGGCUCAACUGGGAGGGUGCGCCGGAAACUGGAGUGCUCGAGGUUGGGAGAGGAAAGCGGAACUCCCGGUGUAGCGGUGAAAUGCG